UCGAAUAGCGACUUCAGUAACGACAUUGUUCACAAUUGGCCGAUUAUCAGAAAUUCACAGUUUUACAUUUAUUGGGAUAGACAAACGACAAAGCAAGCGAAAGCAGUUACAACGAUAAUUGUGAUUUUCCUGCAGCGUAGCCAGCAGAGUGCCAACAUUUAUAGAAGUCGACGCUGGCCAUGCCUGUUACGCGUGAUGAUUCUAUCUGUCAACCGUGGUAAGAGGACCUGUGUCGAGCACCUUCUCUGGCCUUGGUUAAUGCAGCCGUAUCGGCAACAAGAAGCAAGAAACAUGUACCUCAUGAGCCAGUUGCCUGGAGGCAGUAAAAACAAAUCGCCCACUAAUAGUCUGUAUGCUGUAACACCAAUUCCGAGUUCGGUAACGGUAGCAAGAAUGCUGACGGUAUUCGAACGAGGUAACAGACGCGUUCGCGGUCGCUUUCAUAAACGAAAUGAA